GACGAACGCUGGCGGCGUGCUUAACACAUGCAAGUCGAACGGAAAGGCCCUGCUUGCAGGGUACUCGAGUGGCGAACGGGUGAGUAACACGUGGGUGAUCUGCCCGGCACUUCGGGAUAAGCCUGGGAAACUGGGUCUAAUACCGGAUAGGAGCCAUUUUUAGUGUGAUGGUUGGAAAGUUUUUUCGGUGUAGGAUGAGCUCGCGGCCUAUCAGCUUGUUGGUGGGGUAAUGGCCUACCAAGGCGGCGACGGGUAGCCGGCCUGAGAGGGUGGACGGCCACAUUGGGACUGAGAUACGGCCCAGACUCCUACGGGAGGCAGCAGUGGGGAAUAUUGCACAAUGGGCGCAAGCCUGAUGCAGCGACGCCGCGUGGGGGAUGACGGCCUUCGGGUUGUAAACUCCUUUCGCUAGGGACGAAGCUUUUUGUGACGGUACCUAGAUAAGAAGCACCGGCUAACUACGUG
rnacentral:rRNA from 1 species